AUAAACAGAAUAUGUUUCUGAUAUUCUAAGUUUGAACUGCUUUUGCUUAUCAUGUUCUGGUCAUAAUCAUUUUCUACGGCGAUAGUAAGGUCGCUUUGGUGUCAUUUUUUUGAUACAUUCGUUUUACGUUGAUUAUUUCACUUUUAAUUUGAUUAAUAAAUAUAGAUUGUUCUAUUUGGCAAAUU
rnacentral:misc_RNA from 1 species